UCAGAGGUGAAAUCCUACGGCUCAACUGUAGAACUGCCUUUGAAACUGGUAACCUUGAGUAUAAUUGAAGUGGGCGGAAUGUGUCAUGUAGCGGUGAAAUGCUUAGAUAUGCCACAGAACACCGAUUGCGAAGGCAGCUCACUAAAUUAUAACUGACGCUGAGGGACGAAAGCGUGGGUAGCGAACAGGAUUAGAUACCCUGGUAGUCCACGCCGUAAACGAUGUAUACUCGUUGCUGGGGAUACACACUCUUUGACCAAGCAAAAGUAUUAAGUAUACCACCUGGGGAGUACGCUCGCAAGAGUGAAACUCAAAUGAAUUGACGG
rnacentral:rRNA from 1 species